GGCUUCGUAGCUCAGCUGGUAGAGCACUUAACGCGUUUGGGCAUGAUGUUUCCGUCGCUGGUUCGAAUCCAGCCGAAGUCC